rnacentral:rRNA from 1 species
CUGCCAAGGGCAUGGCUGGGAAGCUAUGUACGGAAUGGAUAAGCGCUGAAAGCAUCUAAGCGCGAAGCCAACUUCAAGAUAAGAUUUCACACAGCAAGGGUACGACCCCAGAAAGACUCACUGGUUGAUAGGUCGAAGGUGUAAGUGCAGAAAUGUAUUUAGCUUAUAGAUACUAAUAUGGAGAGGACUUGACAAC